ACACACACACACACACACACACACACACACACACACACACCAGAAGUAACAAUGUUUGCUGUAAAGGAGUAGCCAGGAGCUGGAUCCCCUGGGCUGGGGGCCACAAUAAAAUGCCUAGGCCUUUCCAUCUCU